CGGGCUUUAUGUCUGCUGGCGCGGCGCGCGUGCGCGGCGGCCGCCGCCAUCUUACGUUGUCUCUCGCCCGCCCUCCCCUUUGGCGAGCUCUCCCCUCCUCCCCCCCCGCGGCGCCUCCUCCAGCGCUCCGUGAGGAGACGGGGCCGGCACGGCGAGGGAGAGACCCGCGGCGGCGGGGAAGCUGGGAGUAGACCCCGAGGGAAGAAAGGACGGGGCGGACGCGCACGCGGCAGGAGGAGGAUAGAUUCCAGGCGCGGUUCUGCGGAGGACCAGUGGGUGCCGCCUGUUAUAAAGGGGGAGGAGGCGGCGGAGGGGGAAGGAAGAGCGUGCGGAGCGGAGCCUCCUCCAGAGACAGCCAGACACAGAGGGAGGAGAGAGAGAGGCUGCCUGGCUGGCUCCCCCUUCCUCCCUCCCUCCUUCCUUUUCAUGGACUCUCUUGUCGGGCUGCUGCUGCUUUUCUUCCGUCCUUAUUCCAUCUGUCUAAUGCCCAAAAUGAUUCAGCUCCAUGGCUGCCACUGACGGGGAUGUCCCUGCCCGGCUCAGCCUGCCGCUGCCGCCCUGCUGUGCGCCAGUCCUCCUGACUCAGCCGCAGACAUUAGUGCUAGGAAGAUGGCGCACCCGGCGAUGUUUCCUAGAAGGGGCAGCAGCAGUAGCAGCGGCAGCAGCUGCGUUACUGCUCCCACUGCACCAGGUACCGGCGUUGGGAGCGCUGCCCUCUCUGCCGAGGAUUAUCAGCCGCCUUUGCUGGUCCAGCCACCGCCUCCAUCUCCUGCAGCAGCUUCAUCAGCGGGUCCACAGCCGAUACCCCCUCCUCCACAAAGCCUGAACCUCCUCUCGCAGUCUCAGCUCCAACCACAGCCUCUUGCACAGACUGGAGCUCAGAUGAAAAAGAAAAGUGGCUUCCAAAUUACCAGUGUGACCCCUGCUCAAAUAUCAGCUAGUAUGAGCUCUAAUAACAGUAUAGCUGAGGAUACAGAAAGCUAUGAUGAUCUGGAUGAGUCUCACACUGAAGACCUUUCGUCUUCAGAGAUCUUGGAUGUGUCUUUAUCCAGGGCCACUGACUUGGGAGAACCUGAAAGGAGCUCCUCUGAAGAGACUCUAAAUAACUUCCAAGAGGCAGAGACUCCUGGGGCUGUUUCUCCAAAUCAGCCUCAUCUUCCUCAGCAGCAUGCUCCUCUUCCUCAUCACCCACAGCAGAGUGUUGUGAUCAAUGGAAGUGUUCACCCCCACCACGUUCAUCAUCACCACCAUCUUCACCACCACCAUCAUGGACACCAUCAUCCAUCGCAUCCUGGCGUAGGUAGUGCCCCUAUUUCUGGAGGACCACCGCCCAGUCCAUCAUUUAGAAAACUAUCAACAACUGGAAGCUCUGACAAUGUUAUAUCAACUGCACCAGUUUCUGCUGCAUCAUCCACUGGUUCCCCGGCAUCUGCUGUGUCUAAUAUACGCACUACAAGUACUCCUGGCAAUUUAGGUGUAAGUCCUGCUACUGGAACUAGUACCUUAAAUAAUAUGGGUGGUGGUAGUUCUAGUGUGGCAAGCAAUGUGCUUGGUACUAUAAAUUUAAGCAACAUCACGAGUACUGGUAAUGUAAAUGCUUUGUCUGGAACAAGCAGCAAUGCUAAUGUGAAUAUCUUGAGUGGUGUUGGCAAUGGUACGAGUGCUUCCUCUAGUGUCAUUAACAAUGUUACUAAUCCAACGGCAGGAAUGGCAGUGGGAUCAAGCCCACAGCCGGCUGCAUCUGGCACCUCAAGGUUUAGGGUUGUAAAAUUAGAUUCUAGUUCUGAACCUUUCAAAAAAGGUAGAUGGACAUGCACUGAAUUCUAUGAUAAAGAAAAUACUGUUGCAGUUUCAGAAGGAGUAGCAGUAAACAAAGCAGUAGAGACGAUAAAACAAAACCCGCUUGAAGUGACUUCUGAAAGGGAGAGCACCAGUGGGAGUUCUGUUAGCAGCAAUGUAAGCACACUGAGUCACUAUACAGAAAGUGUGGGAAGUGGAGAAAUGGGAGCACCUACUGUGGUACAGCAGCAAGCGUUUCAAGGUGUGGGUCCACAGCAGAUGGAUUUUAGCAGUGCUGCUCCUCCAGCAAUUCCAGCAUCUAGUAUACCACAGAGUGUUUCUCAAUCACAGCUUGCACAAGUCCAGCUGCAUUCUCAAGAAGUAAACUAUCCACAGCAGAAGCCAGGGGUCCAACCCCCUGCACAGGCCAGUCUAACCACUGUUACUGGGGUUCAGCCAGCCCCGGUUAAUAUACUAGGUGUAUCCCCAUCCCUGGGCCACCAGCAACCUGCCAUUCCGAGUAUGGCUCAACAGCAGCUGCCAUACUCACAGCCAGCACAGCCUGUGCAGACUUUGCCAGUGGUGCAGCAGCAGCAGUUGCAGUACGGACAACAGCAACAGCAGCAGCAGCAACAGCCGGUUCCUACGCAGAUGGCCGCAGGUCACGUUAAGCCGGUGAACCAAAACUCUGUCGCGGGGGCUAUGCCGGACUACAUUCAACAUCAACAGAUCCUUCAGACUCCAGCUCCUGCCAUGCAGCCAAGUUCUACAGGAGUAGGAGCUGGGCAGCCAGUUCCUGUUGCCCAGGCACAGGGCAUGCAGCCUUCAGUGCAAGCACAUCCAGCCGCUGCCCCAGCUCAGCCUGUUGCUCAUGCUCCAGCAGCAAUACCAGGUGUAGCUGCCAGUGGUCAGAUGCUGAAUGUUGGGCAGCAGGGAAGCGUAGCUGCUGUGGUGCAACCACCCUCUGCUGCAAACCAAAUUCCACCUCCAGUUAUGCCGUCAACUGCUGCUCCUCCAUCUUCCCAAGUAGUGCAGCCUGUGCAGACAGGAAUAAUGCAGCAGGGAUUACAGGCUAGUGCUUCAAGCCUUCCUCAGCAAAUGGUCAUUGCUCAACAAAAUACCUUGUUACCUGUACAGCCGCAGGCACAAGGAGUGGAAUCUGUAGUCCAAGGGAUGGCUGGCCAGCAGCUGUCUGCGGUUAGCCCUAUACCCUCAGCUAGUACUGUUCCUGCAGCAAGUCAAGCUGGUUCAGCUGUGCCUCCUGGCAUACCUUCUGCUUCUGUAGGUUUGGGACAGCCACAGAAUAUAGCACAGGCUUCGGCUGUGCAGAAUGGCAGUUUGGCUCAAAGUGUUAGUCAGCCUCCCUUGAUAUCAACAAGUAUAGGUAUGCCAGUGGCACAGAGUAUGCCACAGCAGAUGCCACUAAGCUCUACCCAGUUCCCUGCACAAUCACUAGCUCAGUCCAUUGUAAGCCAAACUGAAGAUGGCAGACGCCCUACAGAACCUUCAUUGGUGGGUUUACCUCAAGCUGCCAAUGUCGAGAGUGGUGUUGGAGCAUCAGCUGUUUCGGAUGGGGGUAGCAGCAACAUGCCAUCUUCUGCAUCCCUCUUUCCACUGAAGGUGCUGCCGUUGACAACGCCUCUCGUAGAUGGUGAGGAUGAGAGGUACAGAAUGACAGUCAAACACUGCACACGGGUAUGCCUGUGAAGAGGCACUGCCAAAGUUAAUCGUGUCUAGUGCAGAAGCUGGGAGUUCUGGCUGAUCAAAGCACGUUCUGCAGAUACACAGUCUGAAAGACUUUGACCAGAGAAGUGUAGGAAUUAUGUGAAGAUUGAGAACUCAGUAAGAAAAGUGGUGCUUAAAAAAAAAAAUUGUUUAAGAAAUUUGUGUAACCUAAUUGCUUGUAAUUGGAAUCAAAUUAAAUUAAACUAGCCAUGUAUUAAGAACUACAAAGUAAAGUAUAAAGGCACUGUUCAUACAAGAAACUACAGGUUUUAUGUGAUUUUUUCCAAGUUCAAGGUAUACAUAAAUACUGUAACCUUUACUGCUAUAGUUAGCUUUCUUAAGCAGAAAAAGUGAACAAAUAGGCAUCAUAUGAUGUCUUUAAAAAAAAGUUUUCUGGUUUUUUUUUAAUUUUUUUUUUAAAUAUUGGCUCAUGCACUCUACUCAGAAGCACAGAAUUUCUCUAAGAGUGAAAGAAGGUCUGUUUUUAUGAUAGAAAUGUAUGUUGGUGCCAGUGAAGUCUGUUAAUCUGAUUUAAAACAUGGCUUAGUUAGGCCAAAAAAGGUUUUCUCUCAACUGUACUUGGCACAAAAGCUGACAAGAAAUAAAAAGCUCGUUAAUGAAGAUAUUUAAAAAUAUUCUUGCAAUCUAAACAGCUUUUAAAAUGGCAGAAUAAUUAUAACAUUGUUUAGCAAAUACCCAUUUCUUUAAUUGUAUAAAAUUGAUGCAUCUAUUAAUGGGAAUUAUUUUUACAAGGUAGUAUUUUCUAUAAUCAACUAAUCAUUCAAUUUUAUGCCUCUAGUGUUUUCCUGCUGUUGUAUAUGUGCCAAGACAUACUGGCUGUGUUUCUCAAAUAUGUGUUGCUGUGAUAGCUAUAUAUAAUUUCACAAUUCUUUGUCAUGCUGAGUUCAGAAAAGCCAUAGCUUUUUGCCUUUCCUAAACUGGCAGUAGGAAGGGUCUUUGAGGGAUUGGUACCUAUGCCAGUCUCGAGUAGGUAUUGUCUGAUAAAGUAGACAGUGCUAUGGCCCUCUGGCUUUUAGUAGGCCUUUAAAGAAGUUGAGCAUGAAACAUUUAUGGAGAGAGGCCUGAUGUUUUAAAACGCAUUCUGAAAUUUAGAAAGUCAAGAUUCCUACCAUUCUGUUUGUUGGCACGUUUAGCUUUGAGUGAAGGGUUGCAUGACAAUCUUUCAAAAUCAACACUUUGACCAAUGGUUUUGCUGCCUUUUCUCCAUCUUGGGACUGGAUAACAUUAUCCAGUAUAGUUGUUAUUAUUAUGUUCAAUGACUUCUACCCUCUCUCCAGUCAAAUCUCCUCCCCCCCCAAAAAACCACCAAAACGAAACAGCAACCCAGAAGUUUUGGAAAACUAGCGUUUUUUCUUAGUGUCAGUAGCUUGCAAUUUAAACAGCCUUAUGUCACUCUUGUUGAUACUUUAAUACACAUGCUAUGUUGGUGCUAGUUUCCAGGUGAAAGAUGUUUUACUAAAAUUUGCUGUUCUUCUAAUAUUUAUUUUGAAUAACAGUUCAACUGGAUGGUGGCGCGUAGAUUCUGCGGUGUCUUUGCAGUCUGCACAUAUUUCUAGAGCUGCCCACAAAAGUAAAGAACCAGUGUGAGAGUUUGAAGAAAGAAUCCGCUCAGAGGACUGAGUCUCAAGCAAAAUCUCCAGGUUGCAGACUCAGAAAGAAACUUCCUUUGGGGAAGGAUCUGCUUCCAGGAUUUGCUCGUCUCUUUUUCCUUGGGCAAACAGAGUUCUUGAAGGAAACAACAGGGUUGCAGGACACCUUCUAACCUUUAUACUGCAUCACAAGCCUUCAGCAGAAGAUCUUGACAGCCAUUUAUGUUGCUGGAAGAUGACUGGGUUUGGAUCUUGGCCUUCCUUAAGCAGGAUCUCCUGACAAAAAUGGGAAAUGACUCCUUUUUCCAUCACACAGAGCCACCCUAGAAAUGGAGGCCUAGGCAGAAAGUUACUUCUAAUGCAUUGUUCUUUAGGAAACGUUUUGCCUCCCACAUUCCUUUUGUUACAGUGUCAUAUAGAUGACUUUUAUAAAACCUAAACCUGGCAUCUUCCUAUCUGAAGAUAAGUCAGUAAAUCCAAGAUUAAGAGUUUACAGGUCUAAUAAUGUGAUCGGAUCUUGCUGUCCCUUCCAUAGGAGAUGCCACGUGAAUCUGUGAAACAGGGUUCUGCUGUGGUUAAGACUGUUAUAUUUGUAAAGCUUUUUCUACUUACAUUAAAAUGAUUAGAAAUAAUAUUAAUAAAGCUUCUUUUGAAAAUGCUGUUUAAUUAGGCUUCUACCUCUCCAGGUCUACUUAAAAAUAAAUUUAAGCCAAAAUGUCACAAUGGGCAAAAUGGGAAGUAGUGCAUCUUUUGAGGUUUCCUGUGGUUUUCUGUUGCAAAAAGGUAUGUUGGAAGUGUUGAGAGCUAUGAAAGUGGAAAAAACUUAACUUUUGCUUUAAGAGUGAGAAGUUAUUUGUUAGAAAGCAGAAAGCUUUCAGUUGUUUUCUCCCUAAGGUAUUCUGUAGCUGAACUUAAUUAAAUAUCUUGGGAGAUCUCAAAUAAAAACCUUAUGUUUGGCAGUAGUGAACAACACAUGCACAUGCCCAUGUACUUUUGUUGUUCUCACUAUAGGAAAUUAGUUUUGAAGACUAGGACUGACUUUCAAUGUUUAGAUUAGGAAAGGGGAAAGUUUUAUUCUUGAGCUGAGUGUGAGAAUGGAUGGCAGGAGUGUGAACUAGACCCUCUGGCAGUAGGUAAAGAGCACUUUUAUUUUUCUGUUUUCUGCUUCUGGCAAUUGGGGUAAACUAGUCAGAUGCUUGUGCUUGAAUCCAAUUAAUUUCUUAAAUCAGUUACCACAAAACAUUGCUUUCUAACUAAUGCCUAGAUCUUUUGUUACAUUCACUAGCUUGUUUAAAUUGUUGAAUAGUCUUAAUAUAGCCCUGAGGCUACUGCUUCAUGGCAGUUGUGACUUCUUACUAUGCUGGAAUGCAUUGCAGUCCUAGUACAUUCUAAAAAUAAUUGUUCAGAUGGUGCUGUUUAAGUACAUACUUAUGUAGUGAGCCAUUUUCACUGAACUUUCUGAAAUGUAGCUUUCUGUUGGAUGGCUUUUUAAUAUUUUUUUUUAUUGUGAAUAUCAAACUUCUUUGUCUUGCUUCUUCUGUGGUUAUCAAGUAAAGUGCUGAAUUUAUAACAUGGUAUUUUUAUAAACUGAUAGUCUGAUGCAUGUGUUUAACUAUGCAACCACAGUAACACUUGUAAACUUUGAAGUUUAAAAAGAAAUCAGUUUAAUGUAUCAAAUUCAAUUCUAUUUUCUUAUAAUAUGUGGAAAUGUGUAUGUGAUGAAAUUAAAAUUGAGUAGUUGUUACAGGUACAGACAUGAAUUGUGUGCUGAACAGGAGUAAUCUAGAAGUCAAAAGCUGAACAUCUGUGAGUCUCAGAAAUGAAUACUAACAUCUGUGGCUAGAGAUCUGUGCCAGCAGUGCUUUUAGUUGAAAAUACCUGUUUUUCUAACUUCUAGUCCAAUUAAAGUCUGAUAUCUUUUAUGCUUAAUAGGUGUACUUGCCUCAGCCACAGUUUUUGGUCAUUUUGUUCUGUAGCAGAAGGUAAAUUGAGGACCAUCAAAUACUUAUGAAUGCUGAAUACCUACAGUAAAGUAAAACAGGGGCACUGAGAACUGUUUCUCAUGUUACUGUCUCAGUUGCUAAAAUGACUACUCUUUCCCAUCACAAUUAGGGGGAAAAAAACCAACAAACACGCCAAAACAAAAGCAAAAACCAAACAAAAAAGCCUCUUGCUAUUCUACAGUUAGCAUUUCGAUAUUUCCUGUCUAUCACCAUUGUGUUAAUAUGUUACUGUCAUGCUCUGAGUUUUACAGCUGGAAUCCUGGGUUCUUGAUACAUCUUUAGAGCAAUAACUCCUGCCUUUGUGUUAUUAAAUAAUAAAGAUGUCUAAAACAA